AGUGAACGCUGGCGGUAGGCCUAACACAUGCAGGUCGAACGGCAGCACAGUAAGAGCUUGCUCUUACGGGUGGCGAGUGGCGGACGGGUGAGGAAUACAUCGGAAUCUACUUUUUCGUGGGGGAUAACGUAGGGAAACUUACGCUAAUACCGCAUACGACCUACGGGUGAAAGCAGGGGAUCUUCGGACCUUGCGCGAUUGUAUGAGCCGAUGUCGGAUUAGCUAGUUGGCGGGGUAAAGGCCCACCGAGGCGACGAUCCGUAGCUGGUCUGAGAGGAUGAUCAGCCACACUGGAACUGAGACACGGUCCAGACUCCUACGGGAGGCAGCAGUGGGGAAUAUUGGACAAUGGGCGCAAGCCUGAUCCAGCCAUACCGCGUGGGUGAAGAAGGCCUUCGGGUUGUAAAGCCCUUUUGUUGGGAAAGAAAAGCAGCAGGUUAAUACCCCGCUGUUCUGACGGUACCCAAAGAAUAAGCACCGGCUAACUUCGUG
rnacentral:rRNA from 1 species